GCUCCAGUGGUGUAGACCGGUCAAGCAUAUCGCCCUUUCAAGGCGAUGAUCUCGGGUUCAAAAUCUCAUAAGAUGAAAUUCCCGACUGGAGCACCA
rnacentral:tRNA from 1 species